UAGGGAAUCUUCGGCAAUGGGGGGAACCCUGACCGAGCAACGCCGCGUGAGUGAAGAAGGUUUUCGGCUCGUAAAGCUCUGUUGUUAAGGAAGAACGAGUGUGAGAAUGGAAAGUUCAUGCUGUGACGGUACUUAACCAGAAAGGGACGGCUAACUACGUGCCAGCAGCCGCGGUAUUAUGUAGGUCCCGAGCGACGUCCGGAUUUAUUGGGCGUGAAGCGAGCGCAGGCGGUUAGAAAAGUCUGAAGUGAAAGGCAGUGGCUCAACCAUUGUAGGCUUUGGAAACUGUUUAACUUGAGUGCAGAAGGGGAGAGUGGAAUUCCAUGUGUAGCGGUGAAAUGCGUAGAUAUAUGGAAGAACACCGGUGGCGAAAGCUGCUCUCUGGUCUGUAACUGACGCUGAGGCUCGAAAGCGUGGGGAGCGAACAGG
rnacentral:rRNA from 1 species